AUGCUGGAGGUAUCAGAAGUGCGAAUGCUGACAUAAGUAACGAUAAAGCGGGUGAAAAGCCCGCUCGCCGGAAGACCAAGGGUUCCUGUCCAACGUUAAUCGGGGCAGGGUGAGUCGACCCCUAAGGCGAGGCCGAAAGGCGUAGUCGAUGGGAAACAGGUUAAUAUUCCUGUACUUGGUGUUACUGCGAAGGGGGGACGGAGAAGGCUAUGUUGGCCGGGCGACGGUUGUCCCGGUUUAAGCGUGUAGGCUGGUUUUCCAGGCAAAUCCGGAAAAUCAAGGCUGAGGCGUGAUGACGAGGCACUACGGUGCUGAAGCAACAAAUGCCCUGCUUCCAGGAAAAGCCUCUAAGCAUCAGGUAACAUCAAAUCGUACCCCAAACCGACACAGGUGGUCAGGUAGAGAAUACCAAGGCGCUUGAGAGAACUCGGGUGAAGGAACUAGGCAAAAUGGUGCCGUAACUUCGGGAGAAGGCACGCUGAUACGUAGGUGAAGUCCCUUGCGGAUGGAGCUGAAAUCAGUCGAAGAUACCAGCUGGCUGCAACUGUUUAUUAAAAACACAGCACUGUGCAAACACGAAAGUGGACGUAUACGGUGUGACGCCUGCCCGGUGCCGGAAGGUUAAUUGAUGGGGUUAGCGGUAACGCGAAGCUCUUGAUCGAAGCCCCGGUAAACGGCGGCCGUAACUAUAACGGUCCUAAGGUAGCGAAAUUCCUUGUCGGGUAAGUUCCGACCUGCACGAAUGGCGUAAUGAUGGCCAGGCUGUCUCCACCCGAGACUCAGUGAAAUUGAACUCGCUGUGAAGAUGCAGUGUACCCGCGGCAAGACGGAAAGACCCCGUGAACCUUUACUAUAGCUUGACACUGAACAUUGAGCCUUGAUGUGUAGGAUAGGUGGGAGGCUUUGAAGUGUGGACGCCAGUCUGCAUGGAGCCGACCUUGAAAUACCACCCUUUAAUGUUUGAUGUUCUAACGUUGGCCCCUAAUCGGGGUUGCGGACAGUGUCUGGUGGGUAGUUUGACUGGGGCGGUCUCCUCCUAAAGAGUAACGGAGGAGCACGAAGGUUGGCUAAUCCUGGUCGGACAUCAGGAGGUUAGUGCAAUGGCAUAAGCCAGCUUGACUGCGAGCGUGACGGCGCGAGCAGGUGCGAAAGCAGGUCAUAGUGAUCCGGUGGUUCUGAAUGGAAGGGCCAUCGCUCAACGGAUAAAAGGUACUCCGGGGAUAACAGGCUGAUACCGCCCAAGAGUUCAUAUCGACGGCGGUGUUUGGCACCUCGAUGUCGGCUCAUCACAUCCUGGGGCUGAAGUAGGUCCCAAGGGUAUGGCUGUUCGCCAUUUAAAGUGGUACGCGAGCUGGGUUUAGAACGUCGUGAGACAGUUCGGUCCCUAUCUGCCGUGGGCGCUGGAGAACUGAGGGGGGCUGCUCCUAGUACGAGAGGACCGGAGUGGACGCAUCACUGGUGUUCGGGUUGUCAUGCCAAUGGCACUGCCCGGUAGCUAAAUGCGGAAGAGAUAAGUGCUGAAAGCAUCUAAGCACGAAACUUGCCCCGAGAUGAGUUCUCCCUGACUCCUUGAGAGUCCUGAAGGAACGUUGAAGACGACGACGUUGAUAGGCCGGGUGUGUAAGCGCAGCGAUGCGUUGAGCUAACCGGUACUAAUGAACCGUGAGGCUUAACCUU
rnacentral:rRNA from 1 species